GACGAACGCUGGCGGCGUGCUUAACACAUGCAAGUCGAACGAAGAGGGAUGGAAGCUUGCUUCUAUCAAUCUUAGUGGCGAACGGGUGAGUAACGCGUAAUCAACCUGCCCUUCGGAGGGGGACAACAGUUGGACACGACUGCUAAUACCGCAUACGAUCUAAUCUCGGCAUCGAGGAUAGAUGAAAGGUGGCCUCUACAUGUAAGCUAUCACUGAAGGAGGGGAUUGCGUCGUAUUAGCUAGUUGGAGGGGUAACGGCCCACGAAGGCGAGGAUCAGUAGCCGGUCUGAGUGGAUGGUCGGCCACAUUGGGACUGAGACACGCCCAAUACUCCUACGGGAGGCAGCAGUGUGCAAUCUUCCGCAAUAGACGAAAGUCUGACGGAGCAACGCCGCGUGAGUUAUGACGGCCUUCGGGUUGUAAAGCUCGGUUAAUCGUUACGAAAGGCCUUCUUGCGAAGAGUGGGAAGUAUUGACGGUACCGGAAGAGAAAGCCACGGCUAACUACGUG
rnacentral:rRNA from 1 species